rnacentral:rRNA from 1 species
UCGCCUACAUGAAGUCGGAAUUGCUAGUAAUCGCGGAUCAGCAUGCCGCGGUGAAUACGUUCCCGGGCCUUGUACACACCGCCCGUCACACCAUGAGAGCCGGUAACACCCGAAGUCAGUAGCCUAACCGCAAGGGGGGCGCUGCCGAAGGUGGGAUUGGUAAUUGGGGUGAAGUCGUAACAAGGUAAC